rnacentral:rRNA from 1 species
GUAAGGAAUAUUGGGCAAUGGAGGCAACUCUGACCCAGCCAUGCCGCGUGAAGGAUUGACGGCCCUCUGGGUUGUAAACUUCUUUUGUACGGGAAUAACCCUCCGAACGUGUUCGGAGCUGAAGGUACCGUAAGAAUAAGGAUCGGCUAACUCUGUGCCAGCAGCCGCGGUAAUACGGAGGAUCCAAGCGUUAUCCGGAUUUACUGGGUUUAAAGGGUGCGUAGGCGGAUUGAUAAGUCAGUGGUGAAAACCUGCAGCUUAACUGCAGAACUGCCAUUGAUACUGCCAGUCUGGAGUAUGGUUGAGGUAGCUGGAAUGUGUCAUGUAGCGGUGAAAUGCUUAGAGAUGACACAGAACACCGACGGCGAAGGCAGGUUACCAACCCAUUACUGACGCUGAGGCACGAAAGCGUGGGGAUCAAACAGGAUUAGAUACCCGAGUAGUCC